rnacentral:rRNA from 1 species
UACAGAGACUGCAAGCGUUAUUCGGAUUCACUGGGCGUAAAGGGUGCGCAGGCGGCCAAGUGUGUGAGGCGUGAAAGCCUGGGGCUUAACUCCAGAAUUGCACCUCAAACUACAUGGCUAGAGCAUUGGAGAGGGUAGCAGAAUUCACGGUGUAGCAGUGAAAUGCGUAGAUAUCGUGAGGAAUACCAGAGGCGAAGGCGGAUACCUGGACAAUUGCUGACGCUCAGGCACGAAAGCGUGGGGAGCAAAAGGG